rnacentral:rRNA from 1 species
UACGUAGGUGGCAAGCGUUGUCCGGAAUUAUUGGGCGUAAAGAGCUCGUAGGCGGUUUGUCGCGUCUGCUGUGAAAACCUAAGGCUCAACCUUGGGCUUGCAGUGGGUACGGGCAGACUAGAGUGCGGUAGGGGUGACUGGAAUUCCUGGUGUAGCGGUGGAAUGCGCAGAUAUCAGGAGGAACACCGAUGGCGAAGGCAGGUCACUGGGCCGCAACUGACGCUGAGGAGCGAAAGCAUGGGGAGCGAACAGG